rnacentral:rRNA from 1 species
UACGUAGGGUGCAAGCGUUGUCCGGAAUUAUUGGGCGUAAAGAGCUCGUAGGCGGUUUGUCGCGUCUGCUGUGAAAACUGGAGGCUCAACCUCCAGCCUGCAGUGGGUACGGGCAGACUAGAGUGCGGUAGGGGAGAUUGGAAUUCCUGGUGUAGCGGUGGAAUGCGCAGAUAUCAGGAGGAACACCGGUGGCGAAGGCGGGUCUCUGGGCAGUAACUGACGCUGAGGAGCGAAAGCGUGGGGAGCGAACAGG